rnacentral:rRNA from 1 species
GACGAACGCUGGCGGCGUGCUUAACACAUGCAAGUCGAACGGAAAGGCCCCUUUGGGGGUACUCGAGUGGCGAACGGGUGAGUAACACGUGAGUAACCUGCCCUUGACUUCGGGAUAACUUCAGGAAACUGGGGCUAAUACCGGAUAGGAAUCCUUGCUGCAUGGUGGGGGUUGGAAAGCUUCGGCGGUUUUGGAUGGACUCGCGGCUUAUCAGCUUGUUGGUGGGGUAGUGGCUUACCAAGGCUUUGACGGGUAGCCGGCCUGAGAGGGCGACCGGCCACAUUGGGACUGAGAGACGGCCCAGACUCCUACGGGAGGCAGCAGUGGGGAAGAUUGCACAAGGGGCGGAAGCCUGAUGCAGCAACGCCGCGUGCGGGAUGACGGCCUUCGGGUUGUAAACCGCUUUCAGCAGGGGCGAAGCUUGUGGUGACGGUACCUGCAGAAGAAGCACCGGCUAACUACGUG